UACGUAGGCAGCGAGCGUUGUUCGGAAUUACUGGGCGUAAAGAGUGUGUAGGCGGUGCUCUAAGUUCGGUGUUAAAUCUCCUGGCUCAACUGGGAGGGUGCGCCGGAAACUGGAGUGCUUGAGCGUGGGAGAGGAAAGCGGAAUUCCUGGUGUAGCGGUGAAAUGCGUAGAUAUCAGGAGGAACACCUGUGGUGUAGACGGCUUUCUGGACCAUAGCUAACGCUGAGACACGAAAGCGUGGGUAGCAAACAGG
rnacentral:rRNA from 1 species